AUAUAUACUUUCAAGUGAAGAAUGAUGAAGAUAUUUUGCAAACCUUAUCCACCGAGGAAAACAUUGUGGUAAGAUUUGUUCUAUAAAAUUGAUUCCGUUUAAUUAAUAAGUUAUUAUUUUGGGACACUAAAACUGUUUUUCUCCUAUGAAGUGUAAUACUCCUAUUGCUCGUCGUCUGUUAUGUUUUCUCCUAUAUAGGUCUAAUUAUUCCUAAAUUCUUUAAUGUUUUCUCUUUCUGGUGUUUAAUAUGUUAAAAAUUUCUGAUAUGGCAAACAUAAUGGUAUACAUCAUCUGUCUGCAGCUUGAAAAAAGUAAAAUUUUUUUAUCUUUUCUUCACUACAUGCAUUAUCCAACUUUAAAUGAUUGUUUUGAAGCCAUACUUGAUUUUAAAAAAUGCAGCAAGUUAUUAUUGGACUGGAUACUGCAGAGAUGAUUAGUGAGGUUGAGUUGCUAGGUCAUUCAGAAAUUGAUUUUGGCAUUGAUGAGUUAGAUGAUGAAGAUAGUGAUUUCCAUGAUGAAGAGGACGAUGACACUGAAAACGAUAACUAUGGAAAGGUGGUAACUUUUCCUUCAAUUCCCCCUUCAAGUUUCAGAUUGUAGUUUUCUGCAGUAUGUGGACAUUGAUAUUGUUCAUCUGCAGGACUGGGUUGGUGUUCUUGAUGAUGAAGAAGAAGAUCUGGAUGAGGACUCUGAUGGAUCCAUAGGGGACUGGGCUAAAUUGGAGACCAUGCGGUCUUCUCAUCCAAUGCAUUUUGCCAAAAAGCUAGUUGAGGUGACUCUCCUAAUCAAAUUUGCUACAUAGUGUAGUAUUAGAAAAGUAGAUCGAAAAAAGUGGAACAUGGAAUACCAUUCUACUAAAUUGACUUUCCGACUAAAAUUACUAUAAUAUUUUUGCCUUUAUUUUGUCAUCGUCAUAUUCCCUUCUCUAAUUUAAAAUGAAUCAAGUUAAUACACCAUCAUAUAUCCAUUUUUGUGAAUCUAUUUUUGUUACAGGUUGUGUCUGAUAAUCCAGAUGAAUAUAUGGAGCAGCCUUCUGCUGGUCUUGCCAUACAAGGCCUCCUAAGACCUGCAUUUAUUGAAGAACACUCUGUCAUCCAGAACCAUAAAUCUAGUGGUGCUGAUACUAAUUACAUUUCUGAAGAACAAAUUCAAGAAGCCAUUUUUCAGAUCAAUGGUCACAAACCCGAAAAUGAAACUAUGCAAGGUAGCCCAAAUUUGGCAGGGGAAUUGGAGAAGGAUGAAAUGCUGGGAAAUGGAACUUUAUUUUACAAGCUAGAGAUGAUUAAAAUUCAGUUAGUUUCAUCACAUGGACAUCCGGUACUUUUGAUUUUUCUUUGAGAAUCUCAAGAUUGCAUGGUGCUCUCAUUUCUUCUGACCUUUACUUCUUCAUAUUUAAACUUUUUUGGUUCUCAUACUUGAGAAAGCUGCUGAAUCUACUCUAUUUUCUGCCUCUUUUGUAACUCUGCAUGUUCACAACUAUGUUUUGAUAGCAAUCCUAAAGUUGGCAGAAGUCAUCCAUGCCAUUUAGUGAAAUUUCUUUCAGCAUAUAUAUGUUCCAUGUACACAAUAUAGUUAUCUGUGGCGUGUUUAUUUCAUCUAAUAUUAGAAUGGAGAUGAAAAGUUUUGCUUGAUUCCUCUUCUUUUUCUUAAAAUACUCUGCUUUCAUGUCCUUGCAAUUGUUUACUAUCAGAAAUGAUACGUAGGGACCUGAAAAGGAGUUGUAGAGGAUAGAUGAGGAAAAGAAGAUGAAGGAAAUUAUGCUAUCAAUUUUCCCAUUACCCCAUGUUGAAUGAAAAACGUUUAUUUCUCUUUCUGAAAGCAGUGGGCUUUAAAUGGCAAACAACGAUUGGGAUGAGAAUAUCCCCCAAAUAGUAGGGGGCAGCCUUCCGUUUGAUACUAAUAGAUAUAUCUUUUGUACUCAAGGUCCAUCUCAAAUAUCGUAAAUAUCAACACCUCAAAUGAUGAACCUUCUUAUCAUUAGGGCAUGUUCUUAACUUGAACCAACUGUUUGACUUGAGAAAUAACUUGACUCUGUGUUUGCAAGUAUGCUGCUGCAAUGACUUGGCUGUACAAAUUUGACAUCCCAGACUUUGUGUCAGAUGUAUUUGAACAAAUAUAGAUUGUAAUGUACUUGACAGUUGCCUUUCUAUGCUACGUAUACUGAUGCGAUUAAAUUUCAAAUAGUAUUACGCAUUGAAUGCACCACUUUGAGGUGGUCUAUCCUUUUGCUAUUAGGAUGGGAAAGCAUAAAUUACUUUUUUUGUUCUGUUUGUGCUUUCUACAGAAUUUUGUUGAUAUAGAAGAUUUUAUGAAAGCUCAACCUGAUGCAAUAGUACAUUCAGCUGCAAAAAUUAUAUCUCGUGUCAAAUCUGGUGGAGAAAAGACUACACAAGCUCUCAAAUCUCUGUGCUGGAGAUGCAAGGGUAUUCAAGUGGAGGUGACACAAUGGAGUUAUAUUAAUCUGUAAUUGUAUCAUGCCUGUUAACUUGAAGUAAACUUUGCAUUGUUUGUAACUUGGAAAAUUGACAUGAAAAUAAGAUUAUAAUUUCACCCAUUCUUUGGUGACAUUUACAGCAUGAAGAAAGUGAGAGGAAUCAAUAUCUACUUCUCCUCACCCAUCUCUUCAUGAACAAGGCCUUUUAAACUUAUUCCCUCCUGGAAACUUAGUACUUACUUUUGCGAGAUUAAUUUGUUAAGAAUUUAAAUUGUGUAUGAAAAGUUACGUUCAUAAUAUUGGACCCUCAUCCAGUUGACGUUCUAUAUACUCUCUUGCAAUAUAUUGUCUUGGAAUACAAGAGAAGGCCAUCUAACAUAUUAAGAGAGAGUCAGAAAAGUUAUUUUUCUGCAAGCAAGUUCUUUUGCUAAUUUUAUAUAUUGAAUUUGUGACAGGAGGUGGCUCUUAUAGGUGUAGACAGCCUUGGUUUUGACUUAAGAAUUUGCUGUGGAACACAAGUACAAACAUUGCGUUUUGCAUUUAAGAAGAGGGUAUAUACUUUUUGUUCUUUACUUUUAUAUUCCAUCAAUUUCAUAUGCUCGUACUCAUCUUGGACCCAUGUGUUUGCA
rnacentral:lncRNA from 1 species